AGCGAACGCUGGCGGCAGGCUUAACACAUGCAAGUCGAGCGGGCGUAGCAAUACGUCAGCGGCAGACGGGUGAGUAACGCGUGGGAACAUACCUUUUGGUUCGGAACAACACAGGGAAACUUGUGCUAAUACCGGAUAAGCCCUUACGGGGAAAGAUUUAUCGCCGAAAGAUUGGCCCGCGUCUGAUUAGCUAGUUGGUGAGGUAACGGCUCACCAAGGCGACGAUCAGUAGCUGGUCUGAGAGGAUGAUCAGCCACAUUGGGACUGAGACACGGCCCAAACUCCUACGGGAGGCAGCAGUGGGGAAUAUUGCGCAAUGGGCGAAAGCCUGACGCAGCGACGCCGCGUGGGGGAGUGAAGGUCUUCGGAUUGUAAACCCCUUUCGGGUAGGGAAGAAUGGGACGGGCGAACCGUUCGGACGGUACCUCCAGAAGCAGCCACGGCUAACUUCGUGCCAGCAGCCGCAGUAAC
rnacentral:rRNA from 1 species